rnacentral:rRNA from 1 species
CAGUCGCCACGGGAAUACGUAGGUGGCAAGCGUUGCCCGGAAUUAUUGGGCGUAAAGGGCUCACAGGCGGUUUCUUAAGUCUGAUGUGAAAGCCCCCGGCUCAACCGGGGAGGGUCAUUGGAAACUGGGAAACUUGAGUGCAGAAGAGGAGAGUGGAAUUCCACGUGUAGCGGUGAAAUGCGUAGAGAUGUGGAGGAACACCAGUGGCGAAGGCGACUCUCUGGUCUGUAACUGACGCUGAGGGGCGAAAGCGUGGGGAGCGAACAGGAUUAGAUACCCGCGUAGUCCCUGUCUCUUAUAC